rnacentral:rRNA from 1 species
UUAGGAAUCUUCCGCAAUGGGCGCAAGCCUGACGGAGCGACGCCGCUUGGAGGAGGAAGCCCUUCGGGGUGUAAACUCCUGAACCCGGGACGAAAUCCCUGUGGAGGGGGCUGACGGUACCGGGGUAAUAGCGCCGGCCAACUCCGUGCCAGCAGCCGCGGUAAUACGGAGGGCGCGAGCGUUACCCGGAUUUACUGGGCGUAAAGGGCGUGUAGGCGGCCUGGGGCGUCCCAUGUGAAAGACCACGGCUCAACCGUGGGGGAGCGUGGGAUACGCUCAGGCUAGACGGUGGGAGAGGGUGGUGGAAUUCCCGGAGUAGCGGUGAAAUGCGCAGAUACCGGGAGGAACGCCGAUGGCGAAGGCAGCCACCUGGUCCACUUGUGACGCUGAGGCGCGAAAGCGUGGGGAGCAAACCGGAUUAGAUACCCGGGUAGUCCACGCCCUAAACGAUGCGCGCUAGGUCUCUGGGUUUACUGGGGGCCGAAGCCAACGCGAUAAGCGCGCCGCCUGGGGAGUACGGCCGCAAGGCUG